UCCUGACCUCAGGUCAUCCACCUGCCUCGGCCUCCCAAAGUGCUGGGAUUAUAGGCGUGAGCCACUGUGCCUGGCCUAAACCUCUUUAAAUACCAAAAAGAUCCCACUGAUCUGCCUCAUCUAUGUCUUACUACACCUUCGACCAUUGCUUUUUAGGUUUCUACUAUGCUACUCUUUCAUGUCCUUGAAUGUGCCUUCCUCAUGGCCAUAUUGUCUGCUUGCACUAUUCAUUCCAUGUGCUCCCUUUUAUAUAAGUAAUACUUGACAUCCUUUAGAGUUUUGCUAAAACAUGACUUCCUCAGGGGAGUUUUCUUCACACCAGAAGGUCUCUCUUACAUACUCUUGGAGGCACACGUGAUCCUGGUCACAGGUCAAUCAUGUUUAACAUCUGUUUUUCACAGAAUAGAAGCUCCAUGAGGAUAGGAAUCAUAUUUGUUCCCACUGUUGUGUGCUCAGUGUUACAGAUUGUGUCUGGCACAUGCUAAAUGUUCGAUACAUAUUUGUUAAAUGAACAUUCAAGUACUGAUGGGAAGAAUUUACACAGCCCUCUUCUCUGCCUAUAGAAAAUGUAAAGUUGAAGAAACUAGCUAGACAAUCUAUCUGCCCAACUUGAUAUCCUUUGCUGUCACUCUACAUAUUGGAAAUGAUGAAAUAUAUGAAAACGACUCUAAUGUUAUAUUGACUCAUUCAUAAAAGUGUGUAUAGAAUGCGCAAUUGGGAAACCCUGUUUGCAGAGCCCAGAGUCAUGAAGAAUAGAACUCAGGAAACCCAUUUAAGAAAACAGUGAGAAUGUAUAAAAGACCUCUAUGAUGGCUUCUGCAUUAUUCAGAUUACUCAAAGAAAAGAUGUCAGCAAUGCAAGUUAAAAUAGGUAUUUUAUUGAGAAAUUUGCUUUGUCAGUGAGAAAGUAACAAAUAUUUUCAUUUAAUAAAAUUAGCAUAUUUUUAAUUCUAAAAAUGUCUCUUAAAAGCCUGUAUUAUCUGAAACUGCAGAUCAUUCUGAUCCAGGGUUUUCUUUUAGUGUCUCCCAUGGAAAAAGAAGUAGCAGAUUCCAUUCGUGCAAAUAACAGAAGAUAAGUAGUAUGACUUGUUCACAAACAAAUUUUCCACUCAAGUUUCAGUUGUCUGCAUGCAUGUGAAUUAACAUCUUUAUUUCUAUAACUAGAAAAAUCUCCUGGUAACAGCAGUGGGGCCUUAGGCUUACCCCUGAGCAUUCAGAGUCAUAAUAUGGUCAUAUUAAAAAAGGGAAGUUCUGCAGCAAGACAGAACUUAAAAACAUCCCCAUUCUCUGAUCACAACUUAAAAUUGGUACAGGUUAAUAGUACACUAAAGUAUAAGUUAUUUGUUAUUAAUAAAUAUACUAGGCUUCCAUGCAGGUUUUUGUUUUUUGUUUUUUUUUCUUUUUUUCUUUGAGACGGAGUCUCACUGUGACGCCCAGGCUGGAGUCGGCUCACUGCAAGCUCUGCCUCCCGGAUUCAUGCCAUUCUCCUGCCUCAGCCUCCCAAGUAGCUGGGACUAUAGGCACCCGCCAUGAUGCCUGGCUAAUUUUUUGUAUUUUUAGUAGAGACGGGAUUUCACCAUGUUAACCCGGAUGGGCUCGAUCUCCUGACCUCGUGAUUCGCCAGCCUCAACCUCCCAAAGUUCUGGGAUUACAGGCAUGAGCCACUGCGCCUGGCCCCCAUGCAGGUUUUUAAAAAAUUGUUUAUUUGUUUCAUUAAAAGGACAAUGACUCUAACCCUAUAAAUUAUUUUAUAAAUAACUUUUACAUAUGAGACACUACAAGUAUAAUUAAAUAAAUAUCUGAAACAUGUUUAAAAUAAGUUAAACCAGUACUGAAACUGACACCUAAUAAUUAAGAUGCUCAACGGUCAUCUAAAUAGAUCUCUUUAAUUUACUGAAGAUAAAGCUUAUCUGAAGAUGCUAUGGUCUAAAUGUCUGUGUCCUCCCAGAAUUCAUACGUUGAAACCUAAUCCUCAAUCAUGUUUAACAUCUGUUUUUCACAGGAGAAUAGAAGCUCCAUGAGGAUAGGAAUCAUAUUUGUUCCCACUGUUGUGUGCUCAGUGUUCAGAUUGUGUCUGGAACAUGGUAGAUGUUCAAUAAAUAUUUGUUAAAUGAA